UACGAAGGGGGCUAGCGUUGCUCGGAAUCACUGGGCGUAAAGGGCGCGUAGGCGGCGUUUUAAGUCGGGGGUGAAAGCCUGUGGCUCAACCACAGAAUGGCCUUCGAUACUGGGACGCUUGAGUAUGGUAGAGGUUGGUGGAACUGCGAGUGUAGAGGUGAAAUUCGUAGAUAUUCGCAAGAGCACCGGUGGCGAAGGCGGCCAACUGGACCAUUACUGACGCUGAGGCGCGAAAGCGUGGGGAGCAAACAGG
rnacentral:rRNA from 1 species